GGGUCUUCCAUUAACCGACACAGAAGGUGUCGGAGAAUGUCCCACAUAGUUGACACACGCUAAUUUCUUUUCGUGUUUUUAUCAACAAAAAAUAAAGCAGAUUAGCAUAAAAAAGUUUGCUCGAAAUUUUUGCAGCCUCUGGAAGCUGGUUGUAAAGCUCAGAUCCUUUGUAAAAUAGUGUAAAUAAGUUCUGCGUGCAUGCCUUUUUCCAGUUCUGCAACCUGAGAUUGUCAGCUCCACUAGUGUCAUGCUCAUGGAUAUCCCUUCCGCAUACCAUGGCUUCCGUCAAGGAACCUACCGAGAUACUAUCCCUGAACCAUCUGCUUGAGAGACAGAAGCCGCAACCAUUAAGCCAUUCAUCUUUAAGCAGAUUUGUCAUAACAUAAAUCACUUUUUUUUUACCAAAUAAAACUAAUAAAAAA